rnacentral:rRNA from 1 species
CCCCCUCAGACUGAAGAGCCCUCGACCCCGAGCAUCGAUCGACACUACCAACNNGCUAGCUAGCUGCUGGAUCGAUCGGACGCUAGCUACGAUCUACGAUCAGACCGCUACGACACUCCUACGAUCAGCUAGCAUCGGGAAGCAUCGACAAUGGAGCGACUGACCCCUAGAGACGAUCAGCUGUGCGAUGACACGCUGUGGGGGGUAAAGCACUUUGGCAGGAAAGAAAUCGCCCCGGGUUAAUAACCCGCGUGGAUGACGGUACCUGCAGAAUAAGCACCGGCUAACUACGAAGCCAGCAGCCGCGGUAAUACGUAGGGUGCAAGCGUUAAUCGGAAUUACUGGGCGAAAGCGUGCGCAGGCGGUUCGGAAAGAAAGAUGUGAAAUCCCAGGGCUUAACCUUGGAACUGCAUUUUUAACUCCCGAGCUAGAGUAUGUCAGAGGGGGUGGAAUUCCCCGUGGUAGCAGUGAAAUGGUAGAUAUGCGGAGGAACACCGAUGGCGAAGGCAGCCCCUGGGUAAUACUGACGCUCAUGCACGAAAGCGUGGGGAGCAAACAGGAUUAUACCCUGGUAGUCCACGCCCUAAACGAAUGUCAACUAGCUGUUGGGGCCUUCGGGCCCUUGUAGCGCAGCUAACGCGUGAAGUUGACCGCCUGGGGAGUACGGUCCAAGAUUAAAACUCAAAGGAAUUGACGGGGACCCGGCACAAGCGGUGGAUGAUGUGGAUUUAAUUCGAUGCAACGCGAAAAACCUUACCAAACCCUUGACAUGUCUGGAAUCCACGAGAGAUCGAGGAGUGCUCGCAGAGAACCGGAACACAGGUGCUGCAUGGCUGUCGUCAGCUCGUGUCUAGACC